UUUGAUACUUUGCAUUUAAUUAAUUAACCUCUCAACUUUUUCAGGAGGAAACCGCUGCUAUCCAAGCAGAAAAUGUUGCUCUCCAAGCCCAAAUAGCUGCUCUCCGAGCUGAAAACGACAGGCUUCGAGCUAAAAGACAGAAAUUUCGAGAUGAAAUUUGGAGAGACAGCUCCUUCAAGGACUUUGUGCAAUUUGACCUGCUGGGAACAGAUGUGCUUGAUCAAGUCAUGGGCCAUUGGUUGAAGAAUGAGAACACUAAACUGAAGGAGACAAAUGAUGCACUCCGACGACAACUUCUAAAUGAUAAUCAACCAAACUGUGCAUGUGGAUGCGAGGAUGGGGGAGAAGACUCAGAGGAUGACAAUGGCGGCCAUUAGGCUGAUUGUUUGCUUUGUUAUCUUUUGAACUAUUGUUUGGGUUCAAUGUUAGAAUAAAUUGAUAUGGGUCGUUUGAUCUUGGUUUGGAUUUUUCUAUUUAUGGAUUGGUUUGAAUUAUGUCUGUGGAUUGUUUAUGUUAUGGAAUUUGUGUGUUGACUGUUGGUCAAUUUGUUUUUAUGGUUAAUGUUUAUGUAUGUGUGUUGUUGAUUAAUAUCACUUGUGCUGGAUUGUUAUUAGAUAACGUAGAGAUAUGAGUUUCUUAUUCAUAGUCCCUCACUCACUGUGGGGUGCACAUGUGUAUUUAGACCUCUUUGUAUGGCCUUUGCUGGAUGAUUGCUCUUGUUCAUACUGCUGGUUGUUUAAUCUCAAAAUUAGUUGUUUAAGGCAUUUGCAAAACCAAUAAAUGGUGCCAUAUUCAUUUUCAACCCAAGGACAGAGCUGCUGUUUUUAAAGGUAAUCCACACUAGUUUAUGGGCGGGGCAGAAACUUCAGCUGUCAUGGGAACUGUCCACACUUGCUCAGAGGCUCAAGCAGAUCAUGAGCAUCUUAAGAGGAAUUUAGAUAUCUGCUACGCCUACCUACACAAAGAUGCGAAGAUGAGAGCUGCAGCCUACAAGAGUCAUUGAAGCAUUUGUUUGAUGCCACUAGUUGGAUGCUCAGUUGGUGUGAGCACAAGAUAUCUUGCCGAUAAAUAUCCUUCUGGCAGAGUUACUGUGAAUACAUGGAAUUGAUGCCCUUCAAGAAAUUAUAUCGUAUGAACUAGUUGAUAUUGGGGAAAUCUGACAAUAAGAGUUUAUCCGUCUACUACAAUUCUUAAUAUCAUCCCUCUACUUGUUGAAAACGUUGGGCUGAUCUUUACGAAGGGAGAUUUGAAGGAAGUGAGUGAGGAGGUUGCUAAUUAGUACAAGGUCGGAGCUCCUGCUCAUGUUGGUUUGGUUGCUCCUGUCGAUGUUGUUGUGCUCCCAGGGAAGACGGGCCUUGAUCCCUCUCGGACAUCCUUCUUCCAGGUCCUCAAUAUCCCAACUAAGAUUAAUAAGGGUACUAUUGAGAUUAUCACUCCAGUCGAGCUUACAAGGAUGCCUAGAAGAAUAUAUUGGCAAUUGCCCUCGAGACAGAGUACUUAUUCCCACAGGCUGAUAAAGUGAAGGAGUGCUUGCAGAUCUUAGUAAGUUUGUAGUAGCUGCUGCUCCAGCUGCAACUGCUGAUUCUGGUGCUGAUCCUGCUGAAGAGAAAAAGGAAGAGCCUGCUAAAGAAUCUGACUAAUUUCUUUUUGCAUGAAUUGCUAAAAUCAAUUUUGAUGUCUAGUUUUUUUUUAUGCUGUUUUAUUUC